GACGAACGCUGGCGGCGUGCCUAACACAUGCAAGUCGAACGGAAGCAAAGAUUUCGGUUUUUGCUUUAGUGGCGAACGGGUGAGUAACGCGUGAGGAACCUGCCUUUCAGUGGGGGACAACAGUUGGAAACGACUGCUAAUACCGCAUAAUGCUUUUUGAUGGCAUCAUUGAAAAGCCAAAGAUUUAUUGCUGAAAGAUGGCCUCGCGUCUGAUUAGCUGGUUGGUGGGGUAACGGCCCACCAAGGCGACGAUCAGUAGCCGGUCUGAGAGGAUGAACGGCCACAUUGGGACUGAGAUACGGCCCAGACUCCUACGGGAGGCAGCAGUGGGGAAUAUUGGGCAAUGGGGGAAACCCUGACCCAGCAACGCCGCGUGAAGGAAGAAGGCCCUCGGGUUGUAAACUUCUUUUACCAGGGACGAAAAAGUGACGGUACCUGGAGAAAAAGCAACGGCUAACUACGUGCCAGCAGCCGCGGU
rnacentral:rRNA from 1 species